GACAGAGGGUGCAAACGUUGUUCGGAAUUACUGGGCGUAAAGCGCGUGUAGGCUGCUUCGCAAGUCGGGUGUGAAAGCCCUGGGCUCAACCUAGGAAGUGCACUCGAAACUGCGAAGCUGGAGUCCUGGAGAGGAAGGCGGAAUUCUCGGUGUAGAGGUGAAAUUCGUAGAUAUCGAGAGGAACACCAGUGGCGAAGGCGAGUCCCUGGACAACACCUGACACUGAGGCACGAAAGCUAGGGGAGCAAACAGG
rnacentral:rRNA from 1 species